rnacentral:rRNA from 1 species
UACGGGGGGGGCAAGCGUUGUUCGGAAUUACUGGGCGUAAAGGGCUCGUAGGCGGCCAACUAAGUCAGACGUGAAAUCCCUCGGCUUAACCGGGGAACUGCAUCUGAUACUGGAUGGCUUGAGUUUGGGAGAGGGAUGCGGAAUUCCAGGUGUAGCGGUGAAAUGCGUAGAUAUCUGGAGGAACACCGGUGGCGAAGGCGGCAUCCUGGACCAACACUGACGCUGAAGCGCGAAAGCUAGGGGAGCGAACGGG